ensembl:lncRNA
GCUGGUAUAUAAUGAUGUGCUACGUGACCGCUAGCGACACAGCUAUGUUAGCAUAACAUAAACAAGCUAACUUUUUUUCCACUCGAUAAAAGUUAACGUGAGUGUUCUCAGUGGUCAGGAACAAAUGUAAUCGCAUGGCAGGAUGCUGUAAACGGACCAAACUUCAGCCAGGAGAACAACUGAGAUAAUCCAUCCACAAUACGAGACACAGACGGAGUGAAGAGACACACUGUUCUUCUGAAGUUUAACAACUUUUCUGCAUCAGGAUCAAAGUCAGAAUGAAAAUCCUCCAUUUUCUAUUUUUCUGCUUCUUUUCAGAUCCAGCUCGGCUCGUCAAGGCAAAACAUAAUAUCUGGUCUGCUGCUGAAAGAGCAAAUGGUACACUUAGCUGCAACUUAUUUUUGUCUGGAAGCACAAAGUUUUUCUGCAAGGAAAAAUGUGAGCGAGCAGAAGAUACCCUCAUUAAAACAGAUGGAAGCACAGCUCAGAGUGGGAGAUUCAGCAUUAAAUAUGAAGAUGGAGCUUCAGGAAGUGGAACUUUGCUUUUGUUCUUCACACACCUGAUCAAGUCUGACUCAGGAAUGUACAGGUGUGCUUUGGGAAGCUCUUCUGUUCCAGAUUCUUACUAUGACUUUGAGGUCAGAGUUUCAAAUGAUCUGGAUAAAAAUGCUGGUUUUUAUCGCACCGAAACUGAAGGAGAAAAAAUCACAAUGGCAUGUUCCAACAACACAUAUGGACAGAGGAAGUUCGUAUGUAAGAAUCAGUGUAAGAAUGAAGGGGAGAUCCUCAUUGACACAACUAAUAACAAAUCUGUGAAUGGCAGAUAUAAAAUUGAAUACAGACCAGGAUCCAUGUAUGGACUGUAUAUGAACAUCAGAAAGCUGACCAAGUCAGACACAGGAUGGUACUUGUGUGGUUAUGGAAACCCUCUGUCUCCUGAUUCAUACGCCAGAGAAUAUGUUCUUGUCAUUGAUGAUACAAACCCAGUUAUUUCCACACCACAAGGAACAGAGUGAAAGUGUCACUCCAGGAGUCUCUACACAUUACACUUUAUUUUUUUUUUUUAAAUAAACAAUUGUUAUGUUGAGGUGUCCAAUCGAUCUGUAGUAAUUAAGGUAGCUGGUAAUAAACUGU